rnacentral:rRNA from 1 species
GAGAAAGUAAGCAAGGGCAGACGGUGGAUGCCUUGGCUCUCGGAGGCGACGAAGGACGUGAUAAGCUGCGAAAAGCCCGGGGGAGGCGCAAAUAGCCCUUGAUCCCGGGAUAUCCGAAUGGGGCAACCCGGCAGGCUGAAGGCCUGCCAUCCCGUAAGGGAGGCGAACGUGGGGAACUGAAACAUCUAAGUACCCAUAGGAGGAGAAAAUAAACAAUGAUUCCGUAAGUAGUGGCGAGCGAACACGGAAGAGCCCAAACCCGUGGCGUCUAGGCGACACGGGGGUUGUAGGACCACGACGUGGCAAGAUAGAGUCAAGUGGAACGCCUUGGAAAAGGCGGUCAUAGAGGGUGAAAACCCCGUACACGACUGACGAUUGAAGCCUAGUGGCAUCCUGAGUAGCGCGGGGCACGAGAAAUCUUGCGUGAAACUGCGGGGCCCAUCCCGUAAGGCUAAAUACUCCCGAGAGACCGAUAGCGAACCAGUACCGUGAGGGAAAGGUGAAAAGAACCCCGAGCAGGGGAGUGAAAUAGACCCUGAACCCGUCUGCCUACAAGCGGUCGGAGCAUCGUCAAGAUGUGACGGCGUGCCUUUUGCAUAAUGAACCUACGAGUUACCUUCCCCGGCAAGGUUAAGUACCUAAGGUACGGAGCCGAAGCGAAAGCGAGUCUGAAGAGGGCGGCCAGUCGGGGGGGGUAGACGCGAAACCGAGUGAUCUACCUUGGCCAGGUUGAAGGUUGGGUAACACCAACUGGAGGACCGGAUGGGUAAGCGUUGAAAAGCUUUCCAAUGAGCUGAGGGUAGGGGUGAAAGGCUAAUCAAACUCGGAGAUAGCUCGUACUCCCCGAAAUGCAUUUAGGUGCAGCCUCUUUAUAGUAUAUCGUGAGGUAGAGCGACUGAUUGGAUGCGAGGGCUUCACCGCCUAUCAAGUCCAGAUAAACUCCGAAUGCGCGAUAUAUAUUUAAAGGGAGUGAGGGCGCGGGUGCUAAGGUCCGUGUCCGAGAGGAGAAGAAUCCAGACCACCGGCUAAGGCCCCCAAAUGAUCGUU